rnacentral:rRNA from 1 species
CACGGGGGGAGCAAGCGUUGUUCGGAUUUACUGGGCGUAAAGGGCGCGUAGGCGGCCACCUCAAGUCAGUUGUGAAAUCUCUGGGCUUAACCCAGAACGGUCAGCUGAUACUGCGGGGCUAGAGUGCAGAAGGGGCAACUGGAAUUCUCGGUGUAGCGGUGAAAUGCGUAGAUAUCGAGAGGAACACCUGCGGCGAAGGCGGGUUGCUGGGCUGACACUGACGCUGACAGCGCGAAAGCUAGGGGAGCGAACGGG